CCACCCAACCAAGCUCUUAUGCUGAAUCACAGCCAUUGUGACAAGGCAUCAUUAAUCAUCAGGUCCUUUUGCCAGGAGCUCCCAUGUCAUGGGCACUUGUCUCUGUAUAUAAAAGGAGUGAUGGGUGGGCUGCUUUGAAUGAAGGGACCUGGGGUGGGGGAGGGGGGCAGCAGAUAGAUCCCUGCUGCUGGCCAGAAUUGGGAAAUAUAAGAAGAUGAUGCAGUCCUGUAGAUAUAAGUGUUCAGCGUGCCAUCUGAAGGAUUUACUACAGAGACAGAAAGCAAAGAAGUUAUGGAAGAAAAAGAUCAGGAAGACAAGUCAGCAGCAUAUGCCAAUGAUCUGGUUGAAGACACUGCUCGAACCCAUGACUUUCGGCGUCACAGUUUUUCCCAUGGCCAGCAAUAAGAAAAGCCUCUUUUGGUGCGGGCCCCAGAACACCAUAAUCAUCUUCGAUUUUACCUCUCCGCCCAGGGUCUUUUAAGUAAAAUUUCUCUCCUUUCACUGACAAA